CGCCUGCAAGGCUAUAACGAAGGAUGGAAAUGAGUGGAAAGAAUUUGAGCAAGGAGAGGUUGAUUACAGCGGAUUAAGAGUUCAGGCAAUGCAAAUGAGUGAAAAGGAAGAUGAUGAUAAAGAGAAGAGAGAAGAUCCAGGAGAUAAUUGGGAAGAAGGUGGAGGUGGCAGUGGAGCAGAAAAAUCUUCAGGUCCCUGGAAUAAAACCGUUCUGGUACAAGCGCCUCCUGCUCCAGUAACAGUUACAGAAACCCCGGAGCCAGCAAUGCCCAGUGGUGUAUUUAGGCCUCCUGAGGCAAGGCUAACCACAACAAGGAAAAUGCCACAAGGACCACCGGAAAUAUACAGUGACACACAGUUCCCAUCCCUGCAGUCCACUGCCAAGGAUGUAGAGAGCCGGAAGGAUAAAGAAAUGGAGAAGAGCUUUGAAGUAGUAAGACACAAAAAUAGAGAUAGGGAGGAGGUUUCAAAAAACCAGGCCCUUAAACUUCAGCUAGACAACCAGUAUGCUAUGCUUGAGAAUCAGAAGUACAGCCACACACAGUAUAGGUAAGGAAUGGUCUUUGCUAAGCCAUCCAAGGUAACUAGACCACAGCUAACCACCAAGAACAGCCAUUCAUCAUUUUGAUUUCUGGAUCUAAAGUGACUAAUUGAAGACCUCAAGUCCAGUAACUGUCCCUGUUGCACUAUGGAAGUUCAAGAGUCACGACUGAUCUUGAUGUGUGUUGGAUUUAGGGGUGUUUCAUUGUCUUAAAUAUUUGUGAAUUAGAUUCAACAGUGUUUGCACAGUUGCUCUGCGUAUAAAACCAAACCUGCAGCCAGUGGUCAUUCAAACAUCUUUAUGUUCAGAUAUUGAGUCUUCGCAAGGUUGACUACCUCAGAUUUGCUGCCCUUAGUUGUAGNUUUCAUGUGGAUAACAUCUAUAUAAGGUUACAGCUACUAGUGUCUGUGUGAACCUUGAAACNAACUCUACUGGAUUCCUGUCAGAAAGCCUUCAGAAGUCAGCCAUCUGGGUUCUGAUCCGCUGUAAAUGAUGAAGAGGUAAGUGACCUUAAUUAACCUGUUCUGUGCAACCUAAGGCAUACUCUGUAGGCUGUGGCUAUGUUAGACUCCCUGGAACAAGUCUCUGUCAGAAAUGAUGUGUUUGGAUCAUCUGUGUGGGGCUUAUGAUUUAUAAUUUAAGUUUUUAGUUGUAUGAGGUAACUGUGGAUUUAAUUCAACCAAACUCGGUUCCACCAAAUGGGGGAUAGUCUUAUUUCUUUGAAUAAUUUUUCAUUCAGAUAAUGCUUGUACGGUUCCACAUUAAGGCCUUGCUUUGACUUGGAAUAAGUUCUUUAAGGGCAUAUUAUGUGGAGAAAUAGUCUGAAAGAAGCAUUGGAAUUGUGAAGUGCCCUAUGAAUUUGCCAAUCCUUAGGUGGAACCAGAUAGCCUUUGAUGCAUAUAAA